GAACGAGAAAAGCUGGGCAGGAAAAUGAAUUGAUUUCAACAGUUCUCUUCUUCCUCCUACAGUUUAAUUGAACCUCAACCUGUUCAGCUCUUCCUGUUCAACUAUUGUUGAAAUCAAUUCAUUUUCACCAUCUCUAACUUGAAUGCCUAGGUCCUUUGCCAUGCCUUUAAGGUCUGUUUUGCGUUGCUAUAAUGAGAUUGUUGGAUGUAGCUAAUAGAGAUGGUUCUUUUUUUUUCACAGGCAUUUAAACGAAUGCAAUGGGUAGAGACUGUAGAAGAAAUGUAGCAAUUUCUUAUGGUAAGAUGCAGGGAAAAGCUACACUCAAGGUCCACCAGCAUGGUCAAACUUGAAGACUGAAGAUAUGCAUGUGAUCAGGUACUAACGGUCUUGAAGACUGCAGCACUCCUUGGAUUUUCUUGGAUUUUGGUGUUUGCUACAUUGCCCCGUCAUUCCACUCUGAAUUAUUUUUCUCUGUUGCAAACCUUUGUCAAUAGAAGCAUUUAGAGUAGCUUGUUUUGCUAUUGGCGAUAUCCCUUGGGUACCUCUGUGCGGUUCGGAGAGUUUUGUGUUUAUUUCCUGGUUGUGUGCCUUAUCUGCUAUUUCGUCUUGGUUGUGAAAGUUGCAUCCUAGUUGAGAAUGCUCCAAACUACACACAUUCAAGACCCUGACUUCUAUAAGAGUGUCAAAAUUAGUCUUCAGAAGCAAAAUAUUUUCAAAAUAUUUCAACUUAUAUUUGUCAUCAGGUGCAAUGUUAUUCCAUGAUUACUGUUAAGCUUGAUUUGUUGGAUGUCAUCUAUUCAGUUGAUUUUGGUAUAGUUCCCUUAUUACUUGUUUGGCCGGGGUUUAUAUUCUCCUAUUGUUGCUUGGGUGUAAGUGUUGGACUGAGAAUCUUAUCAAUUCACUGUGGUGAUGUGAAGUUGGUGUUGUGCUUUGGCACUCACUUGUAUAUUUUAUUUCCAUUAAGUUGAGGUCUCGGUGAUUGGUCUUGUUUGUAGUUGGGAAUUGUUGACUUUUGGAAAUAGGGUUAUAUUUUGUUUGUAGUUGGGAAUUGUUGACUUUUGGAAAUAGAGUUAUAUUUCCUUUUAACA